rnacentral:rRNA from 1 species
ACACGUAGGGGCCUGACGUUGUUCGGAAUCAUUGGGCGUAAAGGGCGCGCAGGCGGCCGUCCAAGUCCGGUGUUAAAUGGUCGGGCUCAACCCGAUCAUGCGCUGGAAACUGGGCGGCUGGAGUCCCGGAGGGGAUGCCGGAAUUCCAGGUGUAGGGGUGAAAUCUGUAGAUAUCUGGAAGAACACCGAUGGCGAAGGCAGGCAUCUGGCCGGAGACUGACGCUGAGGCGCGAAGGCGCGGGGAGCGAACAGGUUUAGAUACCCUGGUAGUCCGCGCAGUAAACGAUGCGCACCAGGUGUCGGGCGGCAGCGCCCGGUACCGGAGCAAACGCGAUGAGUGCGCCGCCUGGGGAGUAUGCCCGCAAGGGUGAAACUCAAAUGAAUUGACGGGG